AUAUCAAUAAGCGGAGGAAAAGAAACUAACAAGGAUUCCCCUAGUAACGGCGAGUGAAGCGGGAAGAGCUCAAAUUUGAAAGCUGGCAGUAAUGUCCGCGUUGUAAUCUCGAGAAGUGUUUUCCGUGCUGGACCAUGGACAAGUUCCCUGGAAUGGGAUGUCAUAGAGGGUGAGAACCCCGUACUUGCUGUGGACGCCCAGUGCUUUGUGAUACACUUUCUAAGAGUCGAGUUGUUUGGGAAUGCAGCUCAAAAUGGGUGGUAAAUUCCAUCUAAAGCUAAAUAUUGGGGAGAGACCGAUAGCAAACAAGUACCGUGAGGGAAAGAUGAAAAGCACUUUGGAAAGAGAGUUAAACAGUACGUGAAAUUGUCAAAAGGGAAGCACUUGAAGUCAGAUAUGCAUAGUAGUACUCAGCCUUAUGGUGUAUUUACUAUUGUGCAGGCCAACAUCGAUUUUUGGUGACGGAUAAGGGUACAAGGAAUGUGGCCUCUCCGGAGGUGUUAUAGCCUUGUACUGGAUACGUGACUAGGGAUCGAGGAUCGCAGCGUCCCCAUUAGGGCAGGCCUUCGGGCACUUUGACGCUUAGGAUGUUGGCGUAAUGGCUUUAAGUGACCCGUCUUGAAACACGGACCAAGGAGUCUAACAUGUCUGCGAGUCUUUGGGUGGCAAACCCAUCGGCGCAAUGAAAGUGAAUGUAGGUGGGAUCCCUCGCGGGUGCACCAUCGACCGAUCCAGAUCUUCUGUGACGGAUUUGAGUAAGAGCAUAUAUGUUGGGACCCGAAAGAUGGUGAACUAUGCCUGAAUAGGGUGAAGCCAGAGGAAACUCUGGUGGAGGCUCGUAGCGGUUCUGACGUGCAAAUCGAUCGUCAAAUUUGGGUAUAGGGGCGAAAGACUAAUCGAACCAUCUAGUAGCUGGUUCCUG
rnacentral:rRNA from 1 species